GAAAUAAGACAUUAUGAAUGCUUAUGGUUCGCUAUAUGUAUUUAUAUUAUCCGUUUUUCUUAUGUUUUUUUAUCUAACCUUUAUUCGCGACCAUAUAAAAACUCUCCAUCAUGCCUCUUUCGCAUGGGUUGUAGUUUUAAUAUGGUAUAUAAAUGCCAACUCAGAACUGAAACGGACAAAGGGAAUCCGACUGUUUAAUUAAAACAUAGCUUUGUGAAAAGCCAGAAAUGGUAUUAACACAAAGUGAUUUCUGCCCAGUGCUUUGAAUGUCAAAUUGAUGAAAUUCAAUCAAGCGCAGGUAAACGGCGGGAGUAACUAUGACUCUCUUAAGGUAGCCAAAUGCCUCGUCAUCUAAUUAGUGACGCGCAUGAAUGGAUUAACGAGAUUCCCACUGUC
rnacentral:rRNA from 1 species